AUUUAAAUUACAAAUUUAAUUCUAUGUUUUGAACUGCAAACUCAAAUUUUAAAUUUAAUUUUAUAUUUUAUAUUUUAAAUUAAUUUUAUUUUAAUUUUUUUAAUAAUUAAAAUUUUUUUCAUAUCAAUCAAACAUAGUAAAUAAUUUUAUCAUUUGUUGUUUGAUUCCGGUCUAUUUCGAUUUCCAUUCCAAUUCCAAUUUCUAUUUUGAAUCAAAUGUCGCUAAAUCUAUUUUAUUUCUUUAUAUUAAUAAUCUUAUUUACUUUAUAUAUUUUAAUUUACCCUAAAAUAUAGAACACCAUCCUAUAAAUAUAUAUAUUUUUAUUAUUUUUUCCCUUACUUUUAGAAAUGAAUAUUUUAUUCCCUUAAAAUUUC
rnacentral:lncRNA from 1 species